ensembl:lncRNA
ACCUGCGCUGCAUUUCCGUUCAGGCAGAUGGUGUGAUUUGGCCGCGCGCCAGCGCGUAGCUCCGACCUGGAAGCUUGCGAACGUGCCCUGCAGCCGGAUGGGCGCCGAUGGGAGGGGCCCCUGCGGGAGCGACUGGGCGGGCACUUGGAGAGGACUAGGACCAGCCAGACCACGGGAUGCCCAAGGCACCCUUUCCCUUCCUGGAAUAGCGCUCCUCUCCCACGGCCAAAGCAGAGGCAAAGCCAGCCUUUCCCCAAUUCUCUGAAAGCCGCCAGGAUGGGUGUCACGCUGCAUCACGCCAGCUUCCGAACCAACCGGGGUAAUCUAUGAGAAUGACCUUUUUGCCAUUCAAAUCCCUCUUGACUUUUCUGCUCUGACCGACCUGAGCUGGCCGCUGCUGACUACCGUGACCACUGCUCAGCUGGGAAAGGGUGGAGCAGCAGCUGCCCGGACGCCCCGACGCCCAGAGCUUCCCCCAGCUCGGCAAGAAUAAAUCUCCGGAGAAAUAGAUUUUGAAGAGGAAUUUGGCCCACAGGUCCGCGCAGACUCGCAAGGACAUGCACACAUCGAGGGCCCGCAGCCGGCGCCUGCAAAGACUGCACCCGUCCUUUGCUGCUGGUUUAUUCCGGGCCUGCCUGUUGGCAUCCGGCCACCGCAAACAGUGGGAGCCGGCUCUGAGCAGCCCCGCGGACCAGCGGGUGACAUGGCUGGCGGGGGCUCUGAGCGGUGUGCUGUGGCAGGCAAUUAGGCCUCAAACAAUGGCUCUGGAAAUGUCAGAAGUAGCGGGGAGGCUGGGAUUCACAUGGGCGUUUGGCACAUGGAGGGCCCCAGGGGCUGACACUGCACUGACGGAGCUAAGAGGAAGGGGGCUGACAAGGGUGCUCUCCAUCUCCCAGAGGACCCUUUGGCUGGGGAGACACCCUUGUGCCUCCUUUCCCCAGACCCCUGGAAUCAGAUAACUCCUUUCACUCCAGGAGCUUUUGUGCUGUGGAGAACCAACCCCUCACACACACCAGAUACUCGGGAGGGAAGAUGGUUCCAAAAUAAGAAGGACCCCAGGUCCCCCCCCCCCUACUUGGCCUGUCCUCUGUCCCCAAAUUCUGUUCUAAGAAGCCCACAGCCCGUGCCCAGCCAGGCCCACCCAAGGCCCCGGCUCUGGACUCCAGCCCCUGCCACUUUGGGGACCUUGUUCCGGAAUCAUGCCCCUCCCUCUCCUCCAGCAGUGCCAGUUACUUCCUCUGCUGUUUUCCUGGCCUUGCCCCCUCCCUCCAUGCUGACAUACAGUGCCUGUGGGCCCCACUGAGCCUGGUGGGUGUCCCCACUCUCUCCCUCCACACCACCAAGUCUCUCCUCCCGGUCUCACUGAGAAAUACCUGUUCCCCAUAGAGAACAGACUUUGGUUGGAAAACGGGAGAGGAGGCAGGGAAGGGAAUGGAUUGGGAGUCUGGAAUUAGCAGAUGCAGACUGUUAUACAUAGGAUGGAUAAACAAGGUUCUCCUGUACAGCACAGGGAACUAUAUUC